rnacentral:snRNA from 1 species
AUGUAAGUGACCUGACUACCCUU